GACGAACGCUGGCGGCGCGCCUAACACAUGCAAGUCGAACGAGUGAGAGAGAGCUUGCUUUCUCGAGCGAGUGGCGAACGGGUGAGUAACGCGUGAGGAACCUGCCUCAAAGAGGGGGACAACAGUUGGAAACGACUGCUAAUACCGCAUAAGCCCACAGGUCGGCAUCGACCAGAGGGAAAAGGAGCAAUCCGCUUUGAGAUGGCCUCGCGUCCGAUUAGCUAGUUGGUGAGGUAAUGGCCCACCAAGGCGACGAUCGGUAGCCGGACUGAGAGGUUGAACGGCCACAUUGGGACUGAGACACGGCCCAGACUCCUACGGGAGGCAGCAGUGGGGAAUAUUGCACAAUGGGGGAAACCCUGAUGCAGCGACGCCGCGUGGAGGAAGAAGGUCUUCGGAUUGUAAACUCCUGUUGUUGAGGAAGAUAAUGACGGUACUCAACAAGGAAGUGACGGCUAA
rnacentral:rRNA from 1 species